rnacentral:rRNA from 1 species
AUUGAACGCUGGCGGAAUGCUUUACACAUGCAAGUCGAACGGCAGCACGGGGGCAGCCCUGGUGGCGAGUGGCGAACGGGUGAGUAAUACAUCGGAACGUGCCCGGUCGUGGGGGAUAACGUAGCGAAAGUUACGCUAAUACCGCAUACGAUCUUAGGAUGAAAGCGUGGGACCUUCGGGCCUCGCGCGAUCGGAGCGGCCGAUGUCAGAUUAGGUAGUUGGUGGGGUAAAGGCCUACCAAGCCGACGAUCUGUAGCUGGUCUGAGAGGAUGACCAGCCACACUGGAACUGAGACACGGCCCAGACUCCUACGGGAGGCAGCAGUGGGGAAUUUUGGACAAAGGGCGCAAGCCUGAUCCAGCCAUUCCGCGUGCAGGACGAAGGCCUUCGGGUUGUAAACUGCUUUUGUACGGAACGAAAAGGCUCUGGCUAAUACCUGGGGCUCAUGACGGUACCGUAAGAAUAAGCACCGGCUAACUACGUG